rfam:Influenza A virus (A/environment/New York/11678-2/2005(H7N2)) segment 8, complete sequence.
UGCCAGGACAUUCUGGAGAGGAUGUCAAAAAUGCAAUUGGAAUCCUCA